AGUGAACGCUGGCGGUAGGCCUAACACAUGCAAGUCGAACGGCAGCACAGGAGAGCUUGCUCUCUGGGUGGCGAGUGGCGGACGGGUGAGGAAUACAUCGGAAUCUGCUCUGUCGUGGGGGAUAACGUAGGGAAACUUACGCUAAUACCGCAUACGACCUACGGGUGAAAGCAGGGGACCUUCGGGCCUUGCGCGAUUGAAUGAGCCGAUGUGGGAUUAGCUAGUUGGCGGGGUAAAGGCCCACCAAGGCGACGAUCCGUAGCUGGUCUGAGAGGAUGAUCAGCCACCCUGGAACUGAGACACGGUCCAGACUCCUACGGGAGGCAGCAGUGGGGAAUAUUGGACAAUGGGCGCAAGCCUGAUCCAGCCAUACCGCGUGGGUGAAGAAGGCCUUCGGGUUGUAAAGCCCUUUUGUUGGGAAAGAAGUCCAGCUGGCUAAUACCCGGUUGGGAUGACGGUACCCAAAGAAUAAGCACCGGCUAACUUCGUGCCAGCAGCCGCUGUAA
rnacentral:rRNA from 1 species